ACACAUGCAGUCGAACGAUGAAGCCAGCUUGCUGGUGGAUUAGUGGCGAACGGGUGAGUAACACGUGAGUAACCUGCCCUUGACUCUGGGAUAAGCCUGGGAAACCGGGUCUAAUACUGGAUACGACCUUCCCACGCAUGUGGUGUUGGUGGAAAGCUUUUGUGGUUUUGGAUGGACUCGCGGCCUAUCAGCUUGUUGGUGGGGUAAUGGCCUACCAAGGCGACGACGGGUAGCCGGCCUGAGAGGGUGACCGGCCACACUGGGACUGAGACACGGCCCAGACUCCUACGGGAGGCAGCAGUGGGGAAUAUUGCACAAUGGGCGCAAGCCUGAUGCAGCGACGCCGCGUGAGGGAUGAAGGCCUUCGGGUUGUAAACCUCUUUCAGUAGGGAAGAAGCUGGCCCUUUGGGUUGGUGACGGUACCUGCAGAAGAAGCGCCGGCUAACUACGUGCCAGCAGCCGCGGUAAUACGUAGGGCGCAAGCGUUAUCCGGAAUUAUUGGGCGUAAAGAGCUCGUAGGCGGUUUGUCGCGUCUGCCGUGAAAGUCCGGGGCUUAACCCCGGAUCUGCGGUGGGUACGGGCAGACUAGAGUGCAGUAGGGGAGACUGGAAUUCCUGGUGUAGCGGUGAAAUGCGCAGAUAUCAGGAGGAACACCGAUGGCGAAGGCAGGUCUCUGGGCUGUAACUGACGCUGAGGAGCGAAAGCAUGGGGAGCGAAC
rnacentral:rRNA from 1 species